UACGGGGGGAGCAAGCGUUGUUCGGAUUUACUGGGCGUAAAGGGCGCGUAGGCGGCCUCUGCAAGUCGACUGUGAAAUCUCCGGGCUUAACCCGGAAAGGUCAGCCGAUACUGCAGGGCUAGAGUGCAGAAGGGGCAACUGGAAUUCUCGGUGUAGCGGUGAAAUGCGUAGAUAUCGGGAAGAACACCAGUGGCGAAGGCGGCUACCUGGACUGACACUGACACUGAGACACGAAAGCGUGGGGAGCAAACAGG
rnacentral:rRNA from 1 species